CGAGAGUUUUGACUUCUCGGGUUUGCCUAGCGCCUCUUGGCGGCGUAACUUUCGCGUGCACCUCCGUGUCCACCCGCACGUCCCGCGAAUCUCCGCCAGCUCGCACCGCCCACGUCCUGUCCAGGGUCUCCCUCUGAGACUGGAAACCCGGAAAAAGAAGACGUUUAGGAGCUCGCCCCGUUUUUCUAAAGAAAGGCCAGUUUCAUACCGAGAGUAAAAAAGGCACAAUCUCGGAAUAAGGAGACCACACAAGCAGCGGGAGCAGCGGGCAGAGAGA